ensembl:ncRNA M03F4.13 ncRNA
GCUGACCGAUUGACCAGACGUCUUUCCAUUGACUUUCAUUUGUUUAUUCAAAGUAAGAAUUCUAUAUAAACUAACUAGCCUCGGAUUGUUUAUUCUACUGUGAAU